GAAGGUGGAACACGUGCACCUCGCUCGGAGGGGGAAUACAUUGGAACAGGUCUUAACCGAAUAAAUUUGUUCCGCAGCCAAAAUUAAAGGGCGUUUGGGCUCACAAGAGAGUGUUCCGCGGCCUUUAUUUGGUGGGUGGAAAAGCCUCACAAGACAUUUGUCCAUGCCGGUUGAGAGUCUUUUCGCCCCCUUGGGAAUGAACACCGCCCAAAUUCCUGGGGGAGGGUCCAGUAGGAAUUCUCCACAAUGGGGAAAAGCUUGAGGAACAACGCCGCGUGUGUGAUAAGGCUUUCGGGUCGUAAAGCACUGUUGUAUGGGAAGAACAGCUAGAAUUGGAAAUGAUUUUAGUUUGACGGUACCAUACCAGAAAGGGACGGCUAAAUACGUGCCAGCAGCCGCGGUAAUACGUAUGUCCCGAGCGUUAUCCGGAUUUAUUGGGCGUAAAGCGAGCGCAGACGGUUUAUUAAGUCUGAUGUGAAAGCCCGGAGCUCAACUCCGGAAUGGCAUUGGAAACUGGUUAACUUGAGUGCAGUAGAGGUAAGUGGAACUCCAUGUGUAGCGGUGGAAUGCGUAGAUAUAUGGAAGAACACCAGUGGCGAAGGCGGCUUACUGGACUGCAACUGACGUUGAGGCUCGAAAGUGUGGGUAGCAAACAGGAUUAGAUACCCUGGUAGUCCACACCGUAAACGAUGAACACUAGGUGUUAGGAGGUUUCCGCCUCUUAGUGCCGAAGCUAACGCAUUAAGUGUUCCGCCUGGGGAGUACGACCGCAAGGUUGAAACUCAAAGGAAUUGACGGGGACCCGCACAAGCGGUGGAGCAUGUGGUUUAAUUCGAAGCAACGCGAAGAACCUUACCAGGUCUUGACAUCCUUUGAAGCUUUUAGAGAUAGAAGUGUUCUCUUCGGAGACAAAGUGACAGGUGGUGCAUGGUCGUCGUCAGCUCGUGUCGUGAGAUGUUGGGUUAAGUCCCGCAACGAGCGCAACCCUUAUUGUUAGUUGCCAGCAUUCAGAUGGGCACUCUAGCGAGACUGCCGGUGACAAACCGGAGGAAGGCGGGGACGACGUCAGAUCAUCAUGCCCCUUAUGACCUGGGCUACACACGUGCUACAAUGGCGUAUACAACGAGUUGCCAACCCGCGAGGGUGAGCUAAUCUCUUAAAGUACGUCUCAGUUCGGAUUGUAGUCUGCAACUCGACUACAUGAAGUCGGAAUCGCUAGUAAUCGCGGAUCAGCACGCCGCGGUGAAUACGUUCCCGGGUCUUGUACACACCGCCCGUCACACCAUGGGAGUUUGUAAUGCCCAAAGCCGGUGGCCUAACCUUUUAGGAAGGAGCCGUCUAAGGCAGGACAGAUGAACUGGGGUGAAAGUCCG
rnacentral:rRNA from 1 species